rnacentral:rRNA from 1 species
UUUCUUAGUAGCGGCGAGCGAAAAGAAAAAAGUUCAGCACUAAGGUAUUUUGUUAAUUUAACAAAUAUACGAUGCAGUGUAUGGAAUAUCUAUUAUCUAGUAUGAUAAAUUAAUAAUCCAAGUCCUUCUUGAAUGAGGCCAUUUACCCAUAGAGGGUGCCAGGCCCGUAGCGAUAUUAAUGAUUACUAGAAGAUAUUUCCUAAGAGUCGUGUUGCUUGAUAGUGCAGCACUAAUAUGGUGGUAAACUCCAUCUAAAACUAAAUAUAACCAUGAGACCGAUAGCAAACAAGUACCGUGAGGGAAAGUUGAAAAGAACUCUGAAUAGAGAGUUAAAAAGUACGUGAAACUGCUUAGGGGUUAAGCCCGAUGAACCUGAAUAUCUUAUAUGAAAAAUUCAUCAUUAAUAGCAUAUUAUAUUUUAUAUAAUGUGUGAAUAGUGUGCAAUUUUUUCAUAAUAAAGACAUUGUUAUCUGUUAAUAAGCAUAUUAUGUAUAUAAUUUUUAUCAUAAGGUCCGUAGGAUAAUGUUUACUCUUUAUUUAGUAUUUAUAUUAAAUAUGAGUAAAAUCCAAAAUAUCGUAAGAUAUUGCGGUACCGGAUAAAUCAUUAACAGAUUUAUAAAUAUAUGGCGCUUACAUUUUUCGGAAUGUUGUAAUAAAUAUAUAUUCUAUGUAUUAUGUAUUCUAUUAUAUGCGUGUAUAUGAUAAACAAUGCUAUAGAUUUAGGAUACCUUCGGGACCCGUCUUGAAACACGGACCAAGAAGUCUAACAUGUGUGCAAGUCAUUGGGUUUGCAAUAUCUAUUGAAACCUAAAGGCGUAAUUAACUUAACUGUAAUUUAAUGGGAUUAUUAUGUAUAAAUUUUAUUUAUACAGAAUCCAUCCCGGGGCGUUCCAUACAGUUAUGUAUCUUAAUAUAUAUGAAUUUUUUUUUGUGUUUAUUAUUGAUACCUCUAACUGGAGCGUACCUUGAGCAAAUAUGUUGUGACCCGAAAGAUGGUGAACUAUACCUGAUCAGGUUGAAGUCAGGGGAAACCCUGAUGGAAGACCGAAGCAGUUCUGACGUGCAAAUCGAUUGUCAGAAUUGGGUAUAGGGGCGAAAGACCAAUCGAACCAUCUAGUAGCUGGUUCCCUCCGAAGUUUCCCUCAGGAUAGCUGGUGCAAUUAAAUAUUAUUAUUAAUAAUCUUAUCUGGUAAAGCGAAUGAUUAGAGGCCUUAGGGCCGAAACGACCUUAACCUAUUCUCAAACUUUAAAUGGGUAAGAACAUUAUCUUACUUGAUAUGAAGAUAAAUGUUAUGAUAUAUUGUGCCCAGUGGGCCACUUUUGGUAAGCAGAACUGGCGCUGUGGGAUGAACCAAACGUAAUGUUACGGUGCCCAAAUUAACAACUCAUACUGAUACCAUGAAAGGCGUUGCUUGCUUAAAACAGCAGGACGGUGGACAUGGAAGUCGUAAUCCGCUAAGGAGUGUGUAACAACUCACCUGCCGAAGCAACUAGCCCUUAAAAUGGAUGGCGCUCAAGUUGUAUACCUAUACAUUACCGCUAAUGCAUAUGAUUUAUUAUACUUGUAUAAUAAAUUCUGAAGCUUUAGUGAGUAGGAGGGUGCAAUGGUGUGCAUAGAAGUGUUUGGCGUAAGCCUGCAUGGAGCCGCCAUUGGCACAGAUCUUGGUGGUAGUAGCAAAUAAUCGAAUGAGACCUUGGAGGACUGAAGUGGAGAAGGGUUUCGUGUGAACAGUGGUUGAUCACGAGUUAGUCGGUCCUAAGUUCAAGGCGAAAGUCGAAAAAUGUUAAAGUUCACGAUAAUUCUUUAUUUAUAAAAAGUAAUUUAGACUUUACAUUUUAUUGAACGAAAGGGAAUACGGUUCCAAUUCCGUAACCUGUUGAGUAUACGUUUGUUAUUAUAAAUGGGCUUUAAUGCUCAUCCUGGCAACAGAAACAACCAUAAAGAAGCCGUCGAGAGAUAUCGAAAGAGUUUUCUUUUCUGUUUUAUAGUCGUACUACCAUGGAAGUCUUUCGAAGAGAGAUAUGGUAGAUGGACUAGAAGAGCAUGGCAUUUACUGCUGUGUCGAUAUUUUCUCCUCGGACCUUGAAAAUUUAUGGUCGGGUCACGCAAAUUUCUCAACAGGCCGUACCGAUAUCCGCAGCUGGUCUCCAAGGUGAAGAGUCUCUAGUCGAUAGAAUAAUGUAGGUAAGGGAAGUCGGCAAAUUAGAUCCGUAACUUCGGGAUAAGGAUUGGCUCUGAAGAUUGAGAUAGUCGGGCUUGAUUGGGAAGUAAUAUUAUGGUUUAUGUACUCGUUCUGGAGAGAUUAAGAUAUAAGCAAUUGUAUCUGUUCCCCGGAUAGCAGUUUACAUAACCAAUUACGGAACUUUCUUGCUAAUAAUUUAUUAGAUUAUUCUAUAUAAAUUUCUAACGGCUAUCAAUUAACAAUUAAUUCAGAACUGGCACGGACUUGGGGAAUCCGACUGUCUAAUUAAAACAAAGCAUUGUGAUGGCCCUAACGGG